CUGGAAUAAAAUUUCAUAAGCUUAUCAAUCAUUCAUGACAUGAUUAUUGUACAUUGAUUACACUGGUUACAAAACUUGAGAAACAUGUAGCCAUCCCCUCAAAAACGAAGAGGAAAAGCAAACUUUUUAUCACCAAACAUAACCUUUCUCUUAAACACAUUCUAUGUAUGGGUACAUUGAUUCACUGAACAAUGGGCACCACACAUUACCCAGUAUUCACGGACACCACUGACCGCACAAUGCAAUAGCUUUACCACUCUGAACAAAACUGUAAGUCUGAUGUUUACCUCCUCACAAAUAUAAAUAACCAUUCAUUUGCUUGGAGAUGCAAAUCUUGUCCGCUCUCUCUGCCGGUUCAAAGCUCGAUCUUUUGGGGAUGAUGUUUUACUUCCCACACCUGCUUGCCGCAUCAUCUCUCUCUUUCUCUCAAGCUCUUGGUCAAGUUCUUCUUUCCACUUCUUCUGUCUCUCAGAAAAGCUCACACUUGGGCUACUUGCUUCUGGUUGAUCAUCAACUACAAGCACUUUUUGAUCAUUGUACUGAGGUGAUGAAUUGUCCUGUGAAGAUUGAUCACUUGCAUUGCCAACGUUUGAUACACGCCUAGUAUUAGUCCCAGGGCUUCCAGUACUAACAGCAUCAGUUGCUGCAGAUGGGGUUCCAAGAGGGGCUCGACUGGGCGACCUGCUUUUGGGUGGUAGUUUCAAGUAAUUUGGAGGAGUUUCAUCGUGUGAACUCUCCACAAAUCUUGGAGAGCAAGCUCCAUUCAAACUGUUGUAGAACUCUUCAUAUAAAGGUGUUUGUAACUUCUUCAGUUCUAAAGCCUUCUCAUCCAGAAAGGCUGUAAUUUUAGACUCAGUAAGUUCAUCAUCAUCCUCAGAAAGUGAUGCCCCACAAGGAAAUGAAAGAGUACUGUCCCUUUGAUCUGGUUGAUCAAUAUCUAAUCUUGCUCCUGCUUGUUCUGGCUUUAUAUUCUCAUCAAAUUUGCAUCUCCAAUCUCCAGAGAGCUCAUGUAUGGAAUCACAACUCUUGUUAAUGUCAUCAGAAUUCAAAACAGGACUAAACUUGACUUUGCUAGUAGUUGUAGCAAAAUCAUCUCCAUCAAUUUGACACAUAUCAUCAUCACUAUUAUUUGUUCUCCAUAAAUCCUUGCUUUCCAACAGUUUAUUAGGAUCAACUGAGCCGCUCAGACUGCCCAAGUUACAGACAUCCAUUGUGCCAGAGACAGAUGGCAGUUGAAGGGUUUCAAGAUCCUUGCUGCAUGACUGCAGAGGAAUUUCAGAAGUUUCCAUGAAAGGAGUGCUAUAAACAGGUUCACAUGCUUCACGCUGUCCAGUUACAAAGGGAUGCUGCAGCAAUGUAGAUGCAUCUGGUCUCAUAUUUGGCUCCCUGUCAAUGGAAAUUAAAUAAAUCAAACAUCCAAAAGAAAAGAGAGGAAAGGGGCUUUUGUGAGCAUACUGCUUAUUCUAAGAGCUGAAAUUGAAUUUAGGGAUAAUAGCACAACCUAUAUUUUUCCAACAUUUUAGCAACUUUUUAUUGUCCUGAACAAAUCCUAUUAUUUCACCACAAGCACCUUAAUGGGGCAUUGGAAAUUUAACUUUGAUACCAUUAAAAAAGGAUGAGAGGAAAAAAGAAACAAAAUCACUACUUUUGCAAGCACUUGAGGAGAAAAUCUUUUGCUUCAGCAGUUAGAUGUUCUGGGAUUUCUGGAUGUGACUUUGUUGAUCCUACAUAGAAUAGGGCAGCAACCUCCUGAUAUUGUUGGCUCCAAGGAGGCUUUCCAGUGGCCAUCUCUAUUACAGUACAUCCGACACUCCAUAUAUCAGCAGAGCUGGGAAAUUUUUAUCUAAUAUAUUAGUAAAGUUCAAUUUAUCAAUCUAAACCAUCAAAAAUAGAAAUUUAAUAUUUUACAUUAAUUAUAGAUAAAGGAGGAAAGGACCUUGCAACCACAUGAACUGAAAUAAAAGAUCGUAUUAGGAGAGAAUGCUAAAUUAUGCACAAAACCACGUCUAAAGCAAAAUCCAAUAAAAUGCAUUCCCUUCAAGUCUCAUAUUUUCCUUCUAGAUUUCUUGAUAGUUGAAACACACUUGGCUUGUGCACUGCAUUUUUGUGAGAAAGGACAUGACAAAAACAAGCUUGAGAAGUUUCUGGAUGAAACAGAAAAACAAUGAUCCAAAACACCUCUCAGCAGCCUCAAAAUUACCAUUUUAGAUUUCUUGAAACACCCUUGGAUUGUGCAAGGCACUUUUGCGAGGAAGGACAUGAAAAAAACCAUAGCUCUAGAAAUUUAUCAGUUGGCAAAAACCUUACAAUUUUAGAUUCCUCUUACCUUUAUGGUACAUCAUCUAUUAUCAACAAAGUUUCCUUUGUAUAGAAAUUUAGAAAAAGAAGAGUGAAAAAUAUUGCAGGAACAAAUUUAGAAGACAUCAACAUGUUCAAAAAAUAAGUAGCAUGCAUGUAACAUAAUAACAUAUAAAUACUUAAAGAAACCUAAUUAUCCCUACAAGCUAUGUCCAAUCUGCAGAAUGACUUCUGGAGCCAUCCAAUAUGGAGUGCCCUUCAUUGACUUGGUGCCAGAAACAGUGGCCAGCUCAACUACUUGUUUUGAUGCACCAAAAUCUGCAAGUUUAAUGCAUCCUUUAUUAUCAACAAGGAUGUUGGCCCCCUUAAUGUCCCUGUGCAUAAUUCCAUUAUUGUGUAAAUACUCCAAUCCCAGCAGCAAUUGCUUUGUGUAUGUUCUUAUAACUGCCUCAGGGAAGGGUCCAAAUUUCCCCAGAAGUGAUGAUAUUGAUCCCCCUGGAACAAAUUCAAGCAGAAUGUUUAAGGUUUCCUCCUCCCUAUCUGUACCCAAAUAUCUAACAAUGUUGGGAUGAGAAAGAUUCUUCAAAAGCUUCACUUCUUCCUCAAGCUCUUUGAUUUGAGCCUGUGCUCUCUCCCUUGAAGCACCAUUAGCUGCAAUCAACACCUGCUUCACUGCCAAGAGCUCUCCAGAAUCAAGAUUCAUGCCCAUAUAAACAUGGCCAAAUGCACCGCAACCGAUUAACUCCCCUUUGCGAUAUCGGAUCAGAGGCGUCAUUGCAAGCGAUGGAGAAGAGGGUUUGGAGAAGAUUCUGGAUUUGCGAAUGCAAGAAUUUAACUUUUCCACCAGGUUUCCUGUUAAUGGAUUAAUGCCAUAUUCUUGAUUAUCUUGGGGUGGACGGAAUACUAUUGAUCGCCUGACUGAUCCCAGAAACUCUUGCAUUAUUGAAGAAGGGCAAUGUGAGAGAGAGAGAGAGAGAG
rnacentral:misc_RNA from 1 species